rnacentral:rRNA from 1 species
UUGAAGAGUUUGAUCAUGGCUCAGAUUGAACGCUGGCGGCAGGCCUAACACAUGCAAGUCGAGCGGUAGCACAGAGAGCUUGCUCUCGGGUGACGAGCGGCGGACGGGUGAGUAAUGUCUGGGAAACUGCCUGAUGGAGGGGGAUAACUACUGGAAACGGUAGCUAAUACCGCAUAAUGUCGCAAGACCAAAGUGGGGGACCUUCGGGCCUCAUGCCAUCAGAUGUGCCCAGAUGGGAUUAGCUAGUAGGUGGGGUAACGGCUCACCUAGGCGACGAUCCCUAGCUGGUCUGAGAGGAUGACCAGCCACACUGGAACUGAGACACGGUCCAGACUCCUACGGGAGGCAGCAGUGGGGAAUAUUGCACAAUGGGCGCAAGCCUGAUGCAGCCAUGCCGCGUGUGUGAAGAAGGCCUUCGGGUUGUAAAGCACUUUCAGCGGGGAGGAAGGCGUUAAGGUUAAUAACCUUGGCGAUUGACGUUACCCGCAGAAGAAGCACCGGCUAACUCCGUGCCAGCAGCCGCGGUAAUACGGAGGGUGCAAGCGUUAAUCGGAAUUACUGGGCGUAAAGCGCACGCAGGCGGUCUGUCAAGUCGGAUGUGAAAUCCCCGGGCUCAACCUGGGAACUGCAUUCGAAACUGGCAGGCUAGAGUCUUGUAGAGGGGGGUAGAAUUCCAGGUGUAGCGGUGAAAUGCGUAGAGAUCUGGAGGAAUACCGGUGGCGAAGGCGGCCCCCUGGACAAAGACUGACGCUCAGGUGCGAAAGCGUGGGGAGCAAACAGGAUUAGAUACCCUGGUAGUCCACGCCGUAAACGAUGUCGAUUUGGAGGUUGUGCCCUUGAGGCGUGGCUUCCGGAGCUAACGCGUUAAAUCGACCGCCUGGGGAGUACGGCCGCAAGGUUAAAACUCAAAUGAAUUGACGGGGGCCCGCACAAGCGGUGGAGCAUGUGGUUUAAUUCGAUGCAACGCGAAGAACCUUACCUGGUCUUGACAUCCACAGAACUUAGCAGAGAUGCUUUGGUGCCUUCGGGAACUGUGAGACAGGUGCUGCAUGGCUGUCGUCAGCUCGUGUUGUGAAAUGUUGGGUUAAGUCCCGCAACGAGCGCAACCCUUAUCCUUUGUUGCCAGCGGUCCGGCCGGGAACUCAAAGGAGACUGCCAGUGAUAAACUGGAGGAAGGUGGGGAUGACGUCAAGUCAUCAUGGCCCUUACGACCAGGGCUACACACACGUGCUACAAUGGCAUAUACAAAGAGAAGCGACCUCGCGAGAGCAAGCGGACCUCAUAAAGUAUGUCGUAGUCCGGAUUGGAGUCUGCAACUCGACUCCAUGAAGUCGGAAUCGCUAGUAAUCGUAGAUCAGAAUGCUACGGUGAAUACGUUCCCGGGCCUUGUACACACCGCCCGUCACACCAUGGGAGUGGGUUGCAAAAGAAGUAGGUAGCUUAACCUUCGGGAGGGCGCUUACCACUUUGUGAUUCAUGACUGGGGUGAAGUCGUAACAAGGUAACCGUAGGGGAACCUGCGGUUGGAUCACCUCCUU